rnacentral:rRNA from 1 species
UACGUAGGGGCCAAGCGUUGUCCGGAUUUAUUGGGCGUAAAGAGCUCGUAGGCGGUUCGGCAAGUCAGCUGUGAAAUCUCCACGCUCAACGUGGAGGGGUCAGCUGAUACUGCUGUGACUUGAGUCCGGUAGGGGAGUGUGGAAUUCCCGGUGUAGCGGUGAAAUGCGCAGAUAUCAGGAGGAACACCUAUUGCGAAGGCAGCUCGCUGGGACGUAACUGACGCUGAGACGCGAAAGCGUGGGGAGCAAACAGG